GCAUCGAUGGUUCAGUGGUAGAAUGCUCGCCUGCCACGCGGGCGGCCCGGGUUCGAUUCAAUUUUUCGAUGCA
rnacentral:tRNA from 1 species